UGAAGAAAAACUUGAUAUAGUCUCCCAGGGUGCAGAGAAAACAAACAGAUUUAUUUGACAUUGGUGAUCCAAUGUGAUAGUUUUAGAGGAGAGGAAAGAAAAAAACCCAAAUCUUUUCACAGAAUGGACAGGAAGAAAACUUUUCUAAGCUACAAAGAAGACCUCUUUUGUUUCUGGAAAAUUAAUAGAUAAGGCCCAUAUUGAUUUAUAC
rnacentral:lncRNA from 1 species